rnacentral:rRNA from 1 species
UACGUAGGGUGCGAGCGUUGUCCGGAAUUAUUGGGCGUAAAGAGCUCGUAGGCGGUGUGUCGCGUCGGCCGUGAAAACCUGGGGCUCAACCCCGGGCCUGCAGCCGAUACGGGCAAGCUAGAAUUCGGUAGGGGAGACUGGAAUUCCUGGUGUAGCGGUGAAAUGCGCAGAUAUCAGGAGGAACACCGGUGGCGAAGGCGGGUCUCUGGGCCGAUAUUGACGCUGAGGAGCGAAAGCGUGGGGAGCGAACAGG